ensembl:lncRNA
AAGUAGCUUUUUGUGAAGUCAGAGGAGUCUUGUCCUGGGAAGACUGCCAAGACAGAGCAACCUGGUCAGAGAUGGAUGUCUAUACUGUAGCUUUUUUGGACUCCAACAGGUGAAUCACAGCUGCAGGGUCUAUGCCUGAACCUUACUCAGAAGAUUAGUAUUUUCCAGAUUUCAUUGUGGCUAGAAGCCAUGUUCCUCCAUUCUGAAGGAUCCCAGGAUGGAAUAUGAUUGUCUGGAUUUACCUUAUAACAUUGGAGUCUUCAUCUGAACUUUCCCUCAAGCUACUUUUGAUUGUCAACUACUUAUGACUGUAGUUCAAAGCUCUAUUAGCUCGGUCCCUGAUUCUUUCUGGAGUAUACCUGUGGACUGCAUCCCUUGAAUAUCACCUGAAUAGCUGGCAGUGACCUUAGUUAUCCUGUGUACGAGCAGCCUGCUUCCUGAACAUCAAUUCAUGAGAAAGUGAUGAAGUGUUUGAACAAUCAGCUAUAAAAUGUGGUGUAUCUUCUCUCUGGUCAGUUUUGAACUCAUUGUUGAAUAACUGAGUGCACCAAGUCUCAAUUCUCCUUUGCUAAAUUCAGGCUGCUAAUAAGCUUCAAUGAAAAACACUGGAAAAUCAAGAUCUUUAAUGUUCCUACACACCCAGGAUAAAGGAGAAGCUGCUGAUAUAAGAAUAUGGGCUUGGACUGUUUGAAGACGUGUGAUGAGUCAGAAUCUGUACUUCUGCUGUUCUACAAGAACUGCUGCCGAAUGCUAAGUCUUGCCAACUGUGAAAUUGCUAUUUCUGCUUCAUAAUGUUUUCUAUCAAAACAGAAUGUAGAGAAAAGCACUCAGCUUGGUGUCAUCUGCAAACUUGUUGAAGGUGCACUCGAUUCCGUCGUCGAUGUCACUGAUAAAGAUGUUAAAGAGCACCGGUCCCAAGACAGACCCCUGGGGGACUCCGCUCGUUACCGGCCUCCACCUGGACAUGGAACCAUUGAUCACCAUCCUCUGUCUGCGGCCUUUCAACCAAUUUCUUAUCCAACGAGUGGUCCACCCAUCAAAUCCACAUCCCUCCAAUUUGGAGAUAAGGGUGUGGUGGGGGACCAUGUCAAAGGCCUUGGGAUUGCAAUAUAUCUAUUAAUUAAACUAUUUACACAAUGUCUGUGGCAGUAACGCUCUUUGAAAAAAAAUCUUCACCACUGUAUGUAUGUAGUUCACAUGUGUUCAUAUGUUGCAGUCACUGUUACACUUUUUUUUUUUGAUCCUAGAGGGAUAAAACUUCUAACAGAAGCACUGCAGGUUCACACUCCUUGUUUUGCUGUGAAUAGAUUAUGUUUUAGCAACAGCUCAAGCUGAUCAAUUUAUCAUGAAUUAAUUAAUUUCACCUGGAACACUGGAGAGGCUUUGAACUUGAGGGAAAGCAGUAACCAAGAGGAAAUCAAACUCUUCCCAAAUGCUGUAUGUCUUCAUACUCAAAACUAUGUUGCUAUAAUUAUACUGCAAUAAACAAUGGUUGCUAGAG